rnacentral:rRNA from 1 species
UACAGAGGGGGCAAGCGUUGUUCGGAAUUACUGGGCGUAAAGGGCGCGUAGGUGGCCUUCUAAGUUGAACGUGAAAUCCCUGGGCUCAACCCAGGAACUGCGUCCAAGACUGGGAGGCUUGAAUCCGGGAGAGGGAUGCGGAAUUCCAGGUGUAGCGGUGAAAUGCGUAGAUAUCGGGAGGAACAUCAGUGGCGAAGGCGGCUGCCUGGCCCAAUACUGACACUCAGGUGCGACAGCGUGGGGAGCAAACAGG